rnacentral:rRNA from 1 species
GACGAACGCUGGCGGCGCGCCUAACACAUGCAAGUCGAACGAUCGAGAGAUAGCUUUCUUUCUCGAGCGAGUGGCGAACGGGUGAGUAACGCGUGAGGAACCUGCCCCAAAGAGUGGGACAACAGUUGGAAACGACUGCUAAUACCGCAUAAGCCCACGGCUUGGCAGCGAGGAGGGGGAAAAGGAGCAAUUCGCUUUGAGAUGGCCUCGCGUCCGAUUUGCUAGGUGGUUUGGUAACGGCCCACGUAGGCGACGAACGGUCGACGGACUGAGAGGUUGCACGACCGCAUAGGGACUGGGACACGACCAAGAAUGGUACGGAGGGCAGGAGAGGAGAGUAUUGCAGGAUGGGGGAAACCCUGAUGCAGCGCGGCCGCGUAGAGGGAGAAGGGAUUCGGAUAGUAAACUCCUAUUGAAGGGGAAGAUAGUGACGGUACCAAGCAAGGAAGUGACGGCUAACUACGUG